rnacentral:rRNA from 1 species
GACGAACGCUGGCGGCGUGCUUAACACAUGCGAGUCGAACGUGAUUUUUGUGGAAAUUCUUUCGGGAAUGGACAUGAAAUGAAAGUGGCGAACGGGUGAGUAACACGUGAGCAACCUACCUUACACAGGGGGAUAGCCGUUGGAAACGACGAUUAAUACCGCAUGAGACCACAGAAUCGCAUGAUAUAGGGGUCAAAGAUUUAUCGGUGUAAGAAGGGCUCGCGUCUGAUUAGCUAGUUGGAAGGGUAAAGGCCUACCAAGGCGACGAUCAGUAGCCGGUCUGAGAGGAUGAACGGCCACAUUGGAACUGAGACACGGUCCAAACUCCUACGGGAGGCAGCAGUGGGGAAUAUUGCACAAUGGGGGGAACCCUGAUGCAGCGACGCCGCGUGAGCGAAGAAGGUUUUCGAAUCGUAAAGCUCUGUCCUAUGAGAAGAUAAUGACGGUAUCAUAGGAGGAAGCCCCGGCUAAAUACGUG